rnacentral:rRNA from 1 species
CCAGACUCCUACGGGAGGCAGCAGUGAGGAAUAUUGGUCAAUGGGCGGGAGCCUGAACCAGCCAAGUCGCGUGAGGGAAGACGGUCCUAUGGAUUGUAAACCUCUUUAGGCGGGGAGCAAUGCCGGGCACGCGUGCCCGGAGGGAGAGUACCCGCAGAAUAAGCAUCGGCUAACUCCGUGCCAGCAGCCGCGGUAAUACGGAGGAUGCGAGCGUUAUCCGGAUUUAUUGGGUUUAAAGGGUGCGUAGGCGGGCUUUUAAGUCAGCGGUAAAAAUUCGGGGCUCAACCCCGUCCGGCCGUUGAAACUGGGGGCCUUGAGUGGGCGAGAAGAAGGCGGAAUGCGUGGUGUAGCGGUGAAAUGCAUAGAUAUCACGCAGAACCCCGAUUGCGAAGGCAGCCUUCCGGCGCCCUACUGACGCUGAGGCACGAAAGUGCGGGGAUCGAACAGGAUUAGAUACCCCUGUA